rnacentral:lncRNA from 1 species
ACCAGAUGCCUUCCAUCUCUGUGUCUUUGGAAUAAUCGUCCCCCUUGUGUUAAGGCUAAGCUGGAAAGUGAUGCAUCAGCAGAGAGCCAGGCAGAGGAUCAAAGGUGGAACAUGACAGGCCCCUCUCUCUUUCUUCAUCCAAAUGGCUACUGCUCUGAUUGUCCAUUAUUCGAUCAACUAUUAACCCCAGGGAACAAAAUCUAGAAUUUCCUAGGAAGGCAUUAUUAGCCUCUUUUCCUGCAGACAUUGUGGUGCAUCUUGGGAAGAGAAACUCAAAUUAGCCACCAAAAGCUAUGUCCUGUGGUUUUAUUGAAAGAGAAUACCGAUCAGCCCAGGGAACAUAAUACUCUGGAGAACUGCACAUCUUGGAAUUGAAGAAAAUGAGAAAUUGGAGGGAAAAUAUCCAUGAGUUUCUUUUUCUCUCUGUCCUUCCUUCCUACCUCCCUUCCUCCUUUCUUUCCUUCUUUCCUUCCUUCCUCCCUUUCUCCUUUCUUUCCUUCUUUCCUUCCUUUCUUCCUCCAUUCCUCCCUUCCUUUCUUCCUUCCUUUCUUCUUUCUGUUUUGGAAAAAAUUCAACGGUGAGCUAGGAAGGCACCAGAUCUAAGAUACAGG